rnacentral:rRNA from 1 species
CACGUAGGGCGCAAGCGUUGUCCGGAAUUAUUGGGCGUAAAGAGCUCGUAGGUGGUCUGCUGCGUCCGUUGUGAAAAUCCAAGGCUUAACCUUGGGCUUGCAGUGGAUACGGGCAGACUAGAGGUAGGUAGGGGAGAAUGGAAUUCCCGGUGUAGCGGUGAAAUGCGCAGAUAUCGGGAGGAACACCGGUGGCGAAGGCGGUUCUCUGGGCCUUACCUGACACUGAGGAGCGAAAGCGUGGGGAGCGAACAGG